AUGAACCUGAGGUGUAUGUUUCAAAGGGUGAUGGAGAAGUUCCUGAAGGCCCUACAGGUGGUGGUUCAGGAGCCUGGCCAGGUGUUCAAGCCCUUCCUCCCCAGCAUUAUUGCACUGUGCAUGGAGCAAGUGUACCCCAUCAUUGCUGAGCGUCCAUCCCCUGAUGUCAAGGCUGAGCUAUUUGAGCUCCUCUUUUGAAUGCUCCAUCACAACUGGUGGUACUUCUUUAAGUCCACUGUCCUUGCUAGAUUGCAGAGGGGCAUCGCUGAGGAGCAGAUGGAGAAUGAACCCCAGUUCAGUGCCAUCAUGCAGGCUUUUGGACAGUCCUUUCUUCAGCCUGAUAUCCACCUGUUCAAACAAAAUCUCUUCUACUUGGAGACUCUGAACAUGAAGCAGAAACUAUACCACAAAAAGAUCUUCUGGACCACCAUGCUGUACCAGUUUGUGAAUGUGCUGCUCCAGGUCCUGGUUCAUAAGUCUCAUGACCUUCUGCAGGAGGAGAUCGGCAUUGCCAUUUACAACAUGGCUUCUGUCGACUUUGAUUGCUUCUUUGCAGCCUUUCUUCCAGAGUUCCUGACUAGCUGUGAUGGUGUGGAUGCCAAUCAGAAAAAUGUUCUGGGGCGGAAUUUCAAGAUGGAUCAGGACCUAACCUCGUUCACCCAGAAUGUGCACAGACUGGUAAAUGAUCUACGUUACUACCGACUCUGCAAUGACAGCCUGCCCCCUGGCACUGUGAAGCUCUAGGAAUGCCUGCUUGCCUUCCUGGCUACUCACUACCCCAGGGAUGUGCCUGCUGCCACUGCCACCUACAUCACCUGCACCUGUGCCACGGAAGUCUGUGACAAGCCUUGGCCACUCUCGGGAUGUGCGUGCCCUGAGCAAGUGGCCUGCCUCUACCUUCUCCUGCUGCCUCCAGCACGGCAGUUUCUGGAGUCCAUUUGACACUGGUAGAGUUUCCAUGCAUUUGGAGCAGGCAGAGGGCCCUGUGGCUGGAUGCCAGGGAGGUACCAGAGAUCCCACAG